GGAGGGCGCCCCGCCCAGGUGAGGAGGGCGCCGCCGGCUUCCCGGGGCCGCGGGUACGCCCAGGCCGACCGGGCGCAGCCAGAGGGCGCCAGCGGGCCGCAAAGAGGGGCCCCGAGGUCCCGGCGGCCGCGGGCAGGUGACGCGGGCUUUUGUCUGAGGACGAGCAGCCGGGGUGAGCGUCGCCGCGCCGUCUCCCGCAUCCGCUCCCCGCCGGCAGGUGAGCCAGGUGGGUGGACGUCCCAGUCCCCGUCCCCGUCCCCGCCCCCCGCCCCCCGGACCCCCCGACCCCGCCGCUCGCCACCGCGCAGGACCCGCCGCUGCCUCUGCUCGGCCGCCGCCUGCCCUCCGCCCACAGCAUCCUCGCGGGGCGCGGCGCGGCGCCCUCCCCACGCGGGCGGACCUGGGCCGCCGCCCUCGCCCCGGCCGCGCUCGCGGACUCGCCCUGGGUCGGCGGCCCCCUGCGGCCGCGCGGUGCCGGGUCUUCUCGGCCUCCCGCGCGUCCAGGCCUCCGGGUGUCCGGGUGUCCAGGCGUCCAGGUGUCUAGCUGUCCAGCUGUCCAGGCGUCCCGGUGUCCAGGCGUCCAGGUGUCCGGGUGUCUCGGUGUCCGGGUGUCCAGCUGUCCCGGUGUCCAGGCGUCCAGGGUCUGGGUGUCCAGCUGUCAGCUGUCCCGGUGUCCAGGUAUCCGGGUGUCCAGGUGUCCGGGUGUCCCGGUGUCCGGGUGUCCGGGUGUCCAGGCGUCCAGGUGUCCGGGCGUCCAGGUGUCCGGGUGUCCGGGUGUCCAGGUGUCCGGGUGUCCAGGCGUCCGGGUGUCCGGGUGUCCAGGCGUCCGGGUGUCCGGGUGUCCAGGUGUCCAGGUGUCCAGGCGUCCAGGUGUCCGGGUGUCCAGGUGUCCGGGGCUCCGGCGGGCGCGGCGCGCGAGGGUGCGGGGCGCGGGACGGGCAGCAGGUGCAGGGGGCGCCGUGGGCACCCCGGGGCGGGCCUCUGCGGCCAGUCCAGGGGAGACGGAGAGAGGGGGGCGAGGGCGAGGCGAGGGCGAGGGCGAGGGCGAGGGCGAGGGCGAGGGCGAGGGCUGCCCACGGACGCGGGGCUCGGCUCGGCGGGGGAGGGGCGCGGAGGGGGGCGCGCGCAAGCCGGGGGCCGGGGGCCGGGGGCCGGGGGCCGGGGCGGCGGGGCCGGGCGCAGGGGAGGCGGGCGGGGCCCGGGGCGGCGCGGAGGGGCGGGGUUCGCGGGCGGCGGGCGGCGGGAGGCGGGAGGCGGGAGGCGGGCGGCGGGCGGGCGCCGGGGGAGGGCGCUGGGCAGGAAGGGGAGGGGGAGCGCGGGCGCGAGCGGCGCAGGGGCUGCGGCGGCAGGAGCGGCGGCGGCGGCAGUAGCGGCGGCGGCGGCGGCGGCGGCGGCAGCUCCCACUCGCUCCUCGCUGCGGGCUCGGCCGUCGAGCCGGGACUCAGCCUCCGCCCGCGGCCAGGCACCCGCCGGCCACGCCCGCACCCGCGCCGCUCGCGGCACCGCGCUCCCCGGGGGCACAGCACCCGAGCCGGUAAGAGGGCGCCCCGCCGCCGGGCCCCGCGCCCCUGCCCGCUGCCCCCCGCUGCCCCGCCCCCCGCGCCCCCGGCCUUUGUUCUCCGGACGGCGGCCUCCGCGGGGCUCCCGUCGGGCGCGGGGCAGGGGCGCGGGGCGCGGGGCGCGGGGCGCGGGGCGCAGCCUGGCGCAGGGGUGGGGGGCGCGGGGCGCGGGGCCCGGGGCCGGGGGGCGCGCGGCGGGGACCUGCCGGAGCGCCGCGGGGCCGCGGGAGCGGAUGUCACCGGCCGGGGAGGGGGCGCGGGGCGCACGGGGCGCGCGGGGCGCGGGGCGGAGAGCGGGGCGCGGCCCCCGGGCCAGGGGCGGGCUUGCUGGGGGCUCCCGUGGGCGCCCCGGGGAGGCCGCGGGGGGCGCGGCGGGUGCGGCCGACAGGCGGGGGGACUGCGGGCCCCGGGUGGGUGCGCCCCGCGGCCCUCGGGGAAGACUCGCCGAGCGCCCGCCUCCCCGGAGACGCCGCCGCCCCGGGCGGGCCUCGAACCCGCGCCGCCCGCGCGACCGCCCCGCGGAGGAGGGCGCGGCGCCCACGGGUGCAGCCUGGCGCCCAGCCUGGGGCGGACCCCGUCGGGCUCCCGCGGGGCCGGCGGCGCGGGGGGGGGGGGGCGGGGGCCUCGCGGGGUCGCCCCGGGGCUCGGGGGCCGGGCGCUGCGGGCCGAAUGA
rnacentral:lncRNA from 1 species